CAGAGGAUCUGAAGCAGGCUCUGUGCUGACAGUAGAGAGCUCCAUGAGGGGCUCAAACCCACAAAUUGUGAGAUCAUGACCUGAGCUGAAGUCAGGGCUCAAACUCAUGAACCUUGAGAUCAUGACCUGAGCCAAAGUCGGAUGCUUAAACAACGGAGCUACCCAGGCACCCUAUAGGGGUACUUUGAGAUUUGAAAAAGGUAGCCUCAAGAAAGAGUUUUCAGGUAUAUAAACAACAAGGGCAAGGUGAGGUUACCUGGGUCACCAGUGUUGGCUGAAAGGAAGCCUGUUGUCACAGGUGGAGGUCAGUCAAUACCUUGAUUUCAUCCUCAAGGAAUAGUUAACACCUGUAUCAAGCUGUCAGCAUAUAAAUGCCCUUCAUUCCAGCAGCUGCUGUCAGCAUAGUUCAUGGCUUGUCCGCCCUCGGCAAAGAGGACUGCCUGAACCAGGGCUGAGCCCCUUCACAGUCACACUCUGGAAAUGUUGAAGCUCAAAGGCUUCACUAGUCUUAAUGCAUGAUGCCUUCCAACCCUACAGACUCUGCUUACUGAUUCCAGGUCUGGCCAGCUGCGAGGAGCAUUUGACCUUUCUCUAGUGCCGGCAGACUGCAGAUGCACCAAUCAAAAUGUCUCUGUCCUUGUCAGUGUCAACUUUCUAAGCCAUGGGAUGAAUAUUGAGUUUAUUUAGUUAAAGACAAACAAAUAAAAAAUGCCACGAGGAAGAGCACUA